ACGGGGGGUGCAAGCGUUGUUCGGAAUUAUUGGGCGUAAAGAGCGUGUAGGCGGCUUGGUAAGUCAGAUGUGAAAGCCCUGGGCUUAACCCAGGAAGUGCAUUUGAAACUGCCUUGCUAGAGUAGGGGAGAGGGAAGCAGAAUUCCUGGUGUAGAGGUGAAAUUCGCAGAGAUCAGGAGGAACACCGACGGCGAAGGCGACUUCCUAACCCUAUACUGACGCUGAGCCGCGAGGGCGUGGUUAGCAAACAG
rnacentral:rRNA from 1 species